AAGGAGGAGGCGAAAAGAGAGUACCUUCCAAGCGGCUCGGGUCCCUAGUUUUUCCUUAACUCAAAUAAGAAAAGUUGUGAAAACUCUGCUGGGGGUGAGAGAAGUAGAGAGGAGGAAGCCAAAUAGAAGUGUGCCCCUCGCCGCCACUGCGUGCGGACCCAAUUGGGCUAGUCAGGGCGAGGGAAGGGGAGCAGUAGGAACUGAGAACUGGGGGAGUAGGUUGGAGGACCGAGGAGGUUACGAACGGAACUGUGGCGAGGGCAUCGUUCCCGGGGGUGUUAAAGGCGGUGAACGAAAGAAGGUUGGCGGUUGUCGGGGUUCAGUGCGUCUAGGUGAUUAGAAGAAAGUUACCAAGAGCUGAGGAAUAGAACUGAAGCCAAGGUAGAGCAGCAGUGAGAAGGACCACUGCUGGAGAAUGAAGGGGUGAAGUGGUAAAUGGGAAGGCUGAAGAAGUGAGAGGUCAAAGAAGAAAAGUGGGACAGAAAGUGCUAGGAGGUAAAUUGAGUCGCAGCCAAUCUCGUCUUAACUUUGUAUUGUUGCUGUACUGCUGCAGUCCACCAGCGGGGGAGAAACACGGAGAAAGACAAGUCCGUCUGUCUGUGCCGCAGGUUCGGAACACCGUGCUGGUUUGGGUGUCGGUAUAUAUGAGAAUGGCUCCCAGAAUAUAGAGGGAUUUUCACCUCUAUUUGUCCUCUUCCUUUCCCUUUUCCGUGUCCCCUACAAGACCGGGGAACGCUUUCCUAAGUGUACUUAUAGAGACCAAGAGUUCCUAGCUUGAUCCGACAGCAGUAAACUUUUCAUUUUUCUCAAA